GGCAGUACAUGGAUAUCUUAUAUAUUAUUUCCUAAUAUUUUAGUAGGCUUGAAAUAUGUGGUAAACAAAAUAGAGACAAAGAAAGAAGAAAAAAGGGUCAAAGAGAGAGGAGAAAAGAGUUGGAGACGGGAGAGAUGAAGGGGAAGAAAAUGAGCAUGGUCUUGGAGACAAACCUGCAUGCUAAUUGUGGCAGGCAGUGUGGUUUAGUAGAAGAAGCUUGGCAGUGUGCUCAGGCUGGAGGGGCUAGAGAGAAGUGAGAUGAGGGAGACAAGAUGAAGUCGCAUCCAAAGAUGAGGUGGCCACUGGCUGAUGGAUCGAUUCCGACAAGAAUAAAACAAUUCAUAGAAAUCAAUGUCACUGACCCGCAGAUGCAUCUCAGAAUUGAUGCCAAACACAAGGGCAGCAUGAAAACACACAGCUCCCAAACUGAAGGAGCUGUAGCAUCUUGAAGACAUCUGGCCUGCAGAAACAGAAUGCUCAAUAAUACCCGUUCGUGGUUACUGAGAAGUCACUACACGUUGAGCACUAGGCUACAUGUUGACAUUUAAGAACUAUAACAUCCUAAUGAGUAAGUGUUAAUAUUCUUAUUCCUAUUUUAAGGUUAAGGAAACUGAGGUUAAAGAA
rnacentral:lncRNA from 1 species